UGUGAUAAAGACCAUGACCAAAAGCAA
rnacentral:piRNA from 1 species